rnacentral:rRNA from 1 species
CCUACGGGAGGCAGCAGUGAGGAAUAUUGGUCAAUGGGCGCUAGCCUGAACCAGCCAAGUAGCGUGAAGGAUGACUGCCCUCUGGGUUGAAAACUUCUUUUAUAUGGGAAUAAAGUGCAGUAUGUAUACUGCUUUGCAUGUACCUUAUGAAUAAGGAUCGGCUAACUCCGUGCCAGCAGCCGCGGUAAUACGGAGGAUCCGAGCGUUAUCCGGCUUUAUUGGGUUGAAAGGGAGCGUAGGCGGGUUGUUAAGUCAGUUGUGAAAGGUUGCGGCUCAACCGUAAAAUUGCAGUUGAUACUGGCAUCCUUGAGUACAGUAGAGGUGAGCGGAAUUCGUGGUGUAGCGGUGAAAUGCUUAGAUAUCACGAAGAACUCCGAUUGCGAAGGCAGCCUUCUGGACUGUAACUGACGCUGAUGCUCGAAAGUGUGGGUAGCAAACAGGAUUAGAUACCCUAGUAGUC